AUUGAACGCUGGCGGCAGGCCUAACACAUGCAAGUCGAACGAGUGGCGGACGGGUGAGUAAUGUCUGGGAAACUGCCUGAUGGCGGGGGAUACCUACUGGAAACGGUAGCUAAUACCGCAUACCAUCAGAUGUGCCCAGAUGGUAUUAGCCAGUUGGUGGGGUAACGGCUCACCAAGGCCACGAUCCCUAGCUGGUCUGAGAGGAUGACGGGCCACACUGGAACUGAGACACGGUCCAGACUCCUACGGGAGGCAGCAGUGGGGAAUAUUGCGCAAUGGGCGAAAGCCUGAUGCAGCAAUGCCGCGUGUAUGAAGAAGGCCUUCGGGUUGUAAAGUACUGUCAGCGGGGAGGCGGUACCCACAGAAGAAGCACCGGCUAACUCCGUGCCAGCCGCCGCGGUAAUAC
rnacentral:rRNA from 1 species